GAUGAACGCUAGCUACAGGCUUAACACAUGCAAGUCGAGGGGCAGCAUGACCUAGCAAUAGGUUGAUGGCGACCGGCGCACGGGUGAGUAACACGUAUCCAACCUGCCGAUUAUUCCGGGAUAGCCUUUCGAAAGAAAGAUUAAUACUGGAUAGCAUAACGAGAAGGCAUCUUCUUGUUAUUAAAGAAUUUCGAUAAUCGAUGGGGAUGCGUUCCAUUAGUUUGUUGGCGGGGUAACGGCCCACCAAGACAUCGAUGGAUAUGGGUUCUGAGAGGAAGGUCCCCCACAUUGGAACUGAGACACGGUCCAAACUCCUACGGGAGGCAGCAGUGAGGAAUAUUGGUCAAUGGGCGAGAGUCUGAACCAGCCAAGUAGCGUGAAGGAUGACUGCCCUAUGGGUUGUAAACUUCUUUUAUAUGGGAAUAAAGUGGGCCACGUGUGGCUUUUUGUAUGUACCAUACGAAUAAGGAUCGGCUAACUCCGUG
rnacentral:rRNA from 1 species